rnacentral:snRNA from 1 species
AUUUCUCGUCCUUUUGGAUAAGAUUAGCAUGUAGUGUCUGUUCUUAGGUUUAUUAUCCUAAGGCUGACAUAAUAUUAAAUUAAUUUUUAUAGGGCCUAGCACCCCCU